rnacentral:rRNA from 1 species
GCGUUCUGUAAGCCGAUGAAGGUGUGUUGAGAAGCAUGCUGGAGGUAUCAGAAGUGCGAAUGCUGACGUGAGUAACGACAAAACGGGUGAAAAACCCGUUCGCCGAAAGACCAAGGGUUCCAGUCCAACGUUAAUCGGGGCUGGGUGAGUCGACCCCUAAGGCGAGGCCGAAAGGCGUAGUCGAUGGGAAAAUGGUUAAUAUUCCAUUACUUCUGUGUAAUGCGAUGAGAGGACGGAGAAGGCUAAAUCAGCCUGGCGUUGGUUGUCCAGGUGAAAGGAUGUAGGCAUGUAUCUUAGGCAAAUCCGGGGUACUCUAUGCUGAGAUCUGAUAGCAAGCUGUACUUGUACAGCGAAGUGGUUGAUGCCAUGCUUCCAGGAAAAGUCUCUAAGCUUCAGUUACACAGGAAUCGUACCCGAAACCGACACAGGUGGUCAGGUCGAGUAGACCAAGGCGCUUGAGAGAACUCUGCUGAAGGAACUAGGCAAAAUGGUACCGUAACUUCGGGAGAAGGUACGCUGUUGUUGGUGAUGGAACUCGCUUCCUGAGCUGACGACAGCCGCAGAAACCAGGCCGCUGCAACUGUUUAUUAAAAACAUAGCACUCUGCAAACACGAAAGUGGACGUAUAGGGUGUGAUGCCUGCCCGGUGCUGGAAGGUUAAUUGAUGGGGUUAGCGUAAGCGAAGCUCUUGAUCGAAGCCCCAGUAAACGGCGGCCGUAACUAUAACGGUCCUAAGGUAGCGAAAUUCCUUGUCGGGUAAGUUCCGACCUGCACGAAUGGCAUAAUGAUGGCGGCGCUGUCUCCAGCAGAGGCUCAGUGAAAUCGAAAUCGCUGUGAAGAUGCAGUGUACCCGCGGCUAGACGGAAAGACCCCGUGAACCUUUACUGCAGCUUGACACUGAACUUUGACCUUACUUGUGUAGGAUAGGUGGGAGGCUUUGAAGCUGGAACGCUAGUUCCAGUGGAGCCGUCCUUGAAAUACCACCCUGGUAAUGUUGAGGUUCUAACUCUGUCCCGUGAUCCGGGACGAGGACCGUGUCUGGUGGGUAGUUUGACUGGGGCGGUCUCCUCCUAAAGAGUAACGGAGGAGUACGAAGGUGCGCUCAGCGUGGUCGGAAAUCACGCGUAGAGUAUAAAGGCAAAAGCGCGCUUAACUGCGAGACCCACAAGUCGAGCAGGUACGAAAGUAGGUCUUAGUGAUCCGGUGGUUCUGUAUGGAAGGGCCAUCGCUCAACGGAUAAAAGGUACUCUGGGGAUAACAGGCUGAUACCGCCCAAGAGUUCAUAUCGACGGCGGUGUUUGGCACCUCGAUGUCGGCUCAUCUCAUCCUGGGGCUGAAGCAGGUCCCAAGGGUAUGGCUGUUCGCCAUUUAAAGAGGUACGCGAGCUGGGUUUAGAACGUCGUGAGACAGUUCGGUCCCUAUCUACCGUGGGCGCUGGAAAUUUGAGAGGAUCUGCUCCUAGUACG